GAUUAACGCUGGCGGCGUGCAUAACACAUGCAAGUCGAACGAUGAAACUUAAAUGAUUUCUUCGGAAUGAACUUAAGUGGAUUAGUGGCGGACGGGUGAGUAACGCGUGAGUAACCGGCCUUACACAAGGGGAUAGCCGUUGGAAACGACGAAUAAUACCCUAUGAAACUAUCACUUCGCAUGAAGCGAUAGUCAAAGUGUUAGCGGUGUAAGAUGGACUUGCGUCUGAUUAGCUAGUUGGUGAGAAAAAAGCCCACCAAGGCAACGAUCAGUAGCCGGCUUGAGAGAGUGUACGGCCACAUUGGGACUGAGACACGGCCCAGACUCCUACGGGAGGCAGCAGUGGGGAAUUUUGCACAAUGGGGGAAACCCUGAUGCAGCGACGCCGCGUGAUUUAGAAGGCCUUCGGGUUGUAAAAAUCUUUUGUAUAGGAAGAAAAUGACAGUACUAUACGAAUAAGGUCCGGCUAAUUACGUG
rnacentral:rRNA from 1 species